rnacentral:rRNA from 1 species
CUAGAGAGCGGCGUACGGGUGCGGAACACGUGUGCAACCUACCUUUAUCAGGGGGAUAGCCUUUCGAAAGGAAGAUUAAUACCCCAUAAUAUUUUGAAUGGCAUCAUUUAAAAUUGAAAACUCCGGUGGAUAGAGAUGGGCACGCGCAAGAUUAGAUAGUUGGUGAGGUAACGGCUCACCAAGUCUACGAUCUUUAGGGGGCCUGAGAGGGUGAUCCCCCACACUGGUACUGAGACACGGACCAGACUCCUACGGGAGGCAGCAGUGAGGAAUAUUGGACAAUGGGUGCGAGCCUGAUCCAGCCAUCCCGCGUGAAGGACGACGGCCCUAUGGGUUGUAAACUUCUUUUGUAUAGGGAUAAACCUACUCUCGUGAGAGUAGCUGAAGGUACUAUACGAAUAAGCACCGGCUAACUCCGUGCCAGCAGCCGCGGUAAUACGGAGGGUGCAAGCGUUAUCCGGAUUUAUUGGGUUUAAAGGGUCCGUAGGCGGAUCUGUAAGUCAGUGGUGAAAUCUCACAGCUUAACUGUGAAACUGCCAUUGAUACUGCAGGUCUUGAGUGUUGUUGAAGUAGCUGGAAUAAGUAGUGUAGCGGUGAAAUGCAUAGAUAUUACUUAGAACACCAAUUGCGAAGGCAGGUUACUAAGCAACAACUGACGCUGAUGGACGAAAGCGUGGGGAGCGAACAGGAUUAGAUACCCUGGUAGUCCACGCCGUAAACGAUGCUAACUCGUUUUUGGGCUUUCGGGUUCAGAGACUAAGCGAAAGUGAUAAGUUAGCCACCUNGGGGAGUACGUUCGCAAGAAUGAAACUCAAAGGAAUUGACGGGGGCCCGCACAAGCGGUGGAUUAUGUGGGUUUAAUUCGAUGAUACGCGAGGAACCUUACCAAGGCUUAAAUNGGGAAAUGACAGGUUUAGAAAUAGACUUUUCUUCGGACAUUUUUCAAGGUGCUGCAUGGUUGUCGUCAGCUCGUGCCGUGAGGUGUUAGGUUAAGUCCUGCAACGAGCGCAACCCCUGUCACUAGUUGCCAUCAUUAAGUUGGGGACUCUAGUGAGACUGCCUACGCAAGUAGAGAGGAAGGUGGGGAUGACGUCAAAUCAUCACGGCCCUUACGCCUUGGGCCACACACGUAAUACAAUGGCCAGUACAGAGGGCAGCUACACAGCGAUGUGAUGCAAAUCUCGAAAGCUGGUCUCAGUUCGGAUUGGAGUCUGCAACUCGACUCUAUGAAGCUGGAAUCGCUAGUAAUCGCGCAUCAGCCAUGGCGCGGUGAAUACGUUCCCGGGCCUUGUACACACCGCCCGUCAAGCCAUGGAAGUCUGGGGUACCUGAAGUCGGUGACCGUAAAA